rnacentral:rRNA from 1 species
UACGUAGGGGGCAAGCGUUAUCCGGAUUUACUGGGUGUAAAGGGAGCGUAGACGGCGAUGCAAGCCAGAUGUGAAAGCCCGGGGCUCAACCCCGGGACUGCAUUUGGAACUGUAUAGCUAGAGUGUCGGAGAGGCAGGCGGAAUUCCUAGUGUAGCGGUGAAAUGCGUAGAUAUCGGGAAGAACACCGAUGGCGAAGGCAGCUCUCUGGGCCGUCACUGACGCUGAGGCGCGAAAGCGUGGGGAGCAAACAGG